rnacentral:rRNA from 1 species
GAAUUUUUUUUUAAAGUUUUUCCCCGCUCAGGAUGAACGCUGGCGGCGUGCCUAAUACAUGCAAGUCGAGCGAAUGGAUUAAGAGCCUUUCUCUUAUGAAGUUAGCGGCGGACGGGUGAGUAACACGUGGGUAACCUGCCCAUAAGACUGGGAUAACUCCGGGAAACCGGGGCUAAUACCGGAUAACAUUUUGAACCGCAUGGUUCGAAAUUGAAAGGCGGCUUCGGCUGUCACUUAUGGAUGGACCCGCGUCGCAUUAGCUAGUUGGUGAGGUAACGGCUCACCAAGGCAACGAUGCGUAGCCGACCUGAGAGGGUGAUCGGCCACACUGGGACUGAGACACGGCCCAGACUCCUACGGGAGGCAGCAGUAGGGAAUCUUCCGCAAUGGACGAAAGUCUGACGGAGCAACGCCGCGUGAGUGAUGAAGGCUUUCGGGUCGUAAAACUCUGUUGUUAGGGAAGAACAAGUGCUAGUUGAAUAAGCUGGCACCUUGACGGUACCUAACCAGAAAGCCACGGCUAACUACGUGCCAGCAGCCGCGGUAAUACGUAGGUGGCAAGCGUUAUCCGGAAUUAUUGGGCGUAAAGCGCGCGCAGGUGGUUUCUUAAGUCUGAUGUGAAAGCCCACGGCUCAACCGUGGAGGGUCAUUGGAAACUGGGAGACUUGAGUGCAGAAGAGGAAAGUGGAAUUCCAUGUGUAGCGGUGAAAUGCGUAGAGAUAUGGAGGAACACCAGUGGCGAAGGCGACUUUCUGGUCUGUAACUGACACUGAGGCGGAAAAGAGCGCC